CACACACACACACACAUACACACACACACACAGACAGACAAGUAAUGUGUCUAUAGUUAUAUUGUGAUGUCUUAGUAAAUAUUGUAUUUGGUGAAAGAUAAACUUUAUUGUAUUUAUUCUAGUGGAUCUAUAAUUAAACGGAUAAACUAGUAUUAGCACAUCAAAGGUCAAUGAAAACAAAAAGUUAUUAUCAGGAGAGAGAGAAUGUUUAAGUGGUUAGCAGCAGUGUGCUAGCCGAUGGCCCCCUCCAUGAGGCCACCACAGCUCAGCAGAACGUCAUUGUAGCUUCUUCUGGGGAGAAAAACACUUACAGAGAAAAUAAAGUUAACAGCUAAAAUUGCACAAAAUAGUACAGUUAAAGAGCAGAUUGUAGAAUAAAGCAGCAGAGUGUGAAAAGUGGUCAGUGUGUCCUCCAGCAGUCCAAGCCUAUAGCAGCAUAACUACAGAGAUAACUGGAUAAUUAGAAGCCAUCGUGGAUUUGUUAAAGAGAAAGUUCUGUCAUUUCAACCCAAUCAACAUAUUUAAGGAAGACGUUUGCUAUGCACUGUAGCGGCAGGAAUUUUACUGGGUUGGCCCGUCACAGACGGAAACCAGCUGCAAAUGAAAGUCUCCUGGAUCUGGCUCUACACAAACGGAGCAGAAAGUCCCCACCACAAGCUGAAUUAUAACACCGAAAUGGGGCAGCACUACGAGAUGAACACUGUGGGACAGGCGCUUGUUUGCCCGGCUGCAAGAUGGGACGGAGACAAAGGGGAGGAGCACGUGUGCCAACAUGUGAACUUUAAUCAAUGACUGGGGUCAUACUGAACUUACAAACAGAUGCUCAAAGAGACUGUUUCCCCAUAGGGUCCACCCAGUGGAAGUGUGUUUGCUGCAGUUAGGUAAUGGAAAGGCUUUUUGGCAACAAUCAGUUGAUUUGGUGAAAUGUCAGAACUGUGAAAAAAUUUACUAAACUACUGCAGAACAUAGUUAACUGAGAAAGUUAGCCUUAAAAAAUAGGAUUGGUAACCUGGUCCAACUCACCAUUGGAUGUCAAUAUAAUCUUUAUUGUAAGUAUGAUUUAAGAUUUGGAAAACCGCAAGUGUCAAGUUGUUCUAUAGCCUAUCCUAGCUUUUUAUCAUAGCUUAUAUGAUUAACAAAAUUUAAAUGAAAUAGGGGUAAAGUAAAUAACUCGGUGCACAACAAUUUCUCGGUAUUCAUCAGGUUUCUUAGUUGACUGAAUGACUUUUCUUAUUUCUACAGGUCUUAGGGUACUCAGCUGCAGCGGACAGGAGAACAACAGUGUUGUUUCAGCUCCUUUGAGUUUCCCAACAGAUCUAGCCAAACCUGAUCCUAUAUUUUUCUAUGAGCUGUGAAGAUGCUGGUGGCGAAGUGGAUCCCACUUAUUUCUUCCUCCCACACACAUUCUUACUCUCUCUCUCUCUCUCUCUCUCUCUGUGUGUAUGUGCAUGUAUAUGUGUUUGUGUGUCCAUGUGUGUCCGUGUCGUGAUGUCACUGUACCUUUAAUUGCGCUUGCUGUUUGUAACUGUAUGUGUCUGAUGUUGUAGGUAUCAGAGGCUAGGGUCAGUAAGAGUUAGGACAUUUUGUGCAUAACCUUUAAUCCCUAGGCAAUCGGUUCGGGAGACGUCUGGUCCGGCCGGAGUGCGAGUCUUCCUGGUGUUGCAAGGUGACCAAGGGAGAGGAUGGAAAAAGAUGAAGAUUGGACUCUCAUGAACUCACGUCGAUACCUGAGAUGAGGACUAACGGAUAGUGUUGCUUCUCACCUUACUGGGACAAGAUUGACUAACAUAAGAAGUUUGCUGAGUUUUAUGACGGUUCUUGUCUUGAAUGCUGCAAGGAACCAUCCCUGAUAAAUUACAAUGGGGUUUCUGCUGGAGGAGGUGAAGAGGAUAACCAAUGGACGAGCAUAACAAGAGGAAAAGAUAUCACCACAAUGUAUCAUCGUUUUAUAGGCCAUCUGACGACCGCGACACCAAUAGAGGAAUUGUUCACAAUGGAAGAUGAGUAAAAUGCAACUACUCUACACCCUAGACUGGUUUCCAUACCUGCAUUCACACUAUUACAGUCACACCUGCAGAUGACAGGACUUUACUAGCAUAAUAACCACACGAUGACUGUGUCACUUAGCUGAUGUUUGCUUACUUUUGUUCCAGUUUUACGACUUUGAAUUAGUUCCUGAGUAGUACUGGUAUUGUUUUAAUGGUCCGAGGGGAGGUUACUGCGAAUGGGGUCAUAGUUUUAAGGUGUACAUAAAGCUUUUGCGUGGGCCAGAAGGGCCAGGUAGAUCUGAGAUUAUAAAGAGAUAAAUCCUAACACAAUAUAGCAUGUGUGUGUUCCAGGUAAACUACCAAUAAUGAGCCCAGAACUGACAUGUUUCUGGUUAGUGCUUAGAGCACGUUAAUGACAACGUUAUAGAUCAUAAUGCUACAGAUUAAUUCCUCGUAUGCAGAGGAUUCAGAAUUACAGAUGAUAGGAGACUCAACGUGUGAGUUUACCGUAUAAUCUUAGGUUUCACAUCAUUUUUGUUCCCGUUUGUGUCAAAGUUCUUUAACUUAAUGUGAUAACGUAACCAUGACUGUUACUACUCCAUUUCAGGUGCAACAGAUCUUCUGGUGGGUGCUGGAUGUCAUGUUUUGACUAGUGUUUUCUUAUUGUGAUGGAUUAGCAUGUGUUCAUUUUUGAGGGUGUGUGGAUGUUGCAUGACGGGUUUUGAAUGUGGUUUCGAAGGUUGAGGAACAGAAUAGGUGGUUCUGGUUGGGUUUAGAUCGGAUUUGCUGAAUGAUUUUUAAUUUGGUUUUAAGGACUUAUUUCUGGUCGUUUUACCGAGCGGCCAUUUACAUUACUCCUGGUUAUCAAGACAAUCAUGUGAGUUUUGCUUUUACCGUUAACCCAUAAAUGCUUGAGUAAAUCAUUGCAUGCCUUACUACCGAAUUAGCCCUUUAAUUUAGGAUAAGUGGGUAGGUUAGAAAGGGGGUGUGAAUGUGGGGAUGGAUGCUUUGUCUAUGGGUCUAAAAAUUUAGGAAGUUUUUGUGGUAAUAGGUUUAUAGGCAAUUGGCGUGCUAAUUCAAGUUUUUCUUGUUGACAUGUUGCGUUUUGCUCGCCGUGGGGAGGAUGAAGUCGGCACCACCACGCUGCACGCAGAUGGACAAAGGGAGGACUGAGCCAAGAACUUAUGCCUUUGCUUUGCUGACAAAUAAAGGACACUUGUCCACAUAAAGCCCUCCUCAAGCAGAAGACCUCCAACGACGACAUGGAUGUUGAACUUGUAUUUUCCGUUCUAUUCUUUUUGAAUGAAAUCUUCAACCGGAUUUAUUACUGUUUCAUUAUGUCUUCGCUAAAGCUAAUUGUUCAUUAUUCAUCAUAUUUGUCACCAGUUUCUUUUCAUGUGCCUUUGUUGUUUUGUGUGUUCUUUCUUUUGACCACUGAUGAGGAUAUUUGUCACCUGAUGUCCUCAAGCUAGUCCUCGCAUGCCCGCUCUGUGCCGUGGCGUUCGUCCCCUUUUGGGUCGGGGAGGACAUGGAGGAAUUUUCCCUGUUAAAGUACAGCGGACAGGUUUUUGCCUCCAUACGGAGUGCGCAUGCAAUACAUUCGUGAAGUAAUGAGUUCAGUUAAUGCUAAAAUCAUGUUUCAUGUAUUGUUUCACAGUUUUUCAUUGUCUCAGCUGUAAACUCAUCGGUUGUUUUUCAGUUACUUAAUCAUUGUUCAUUGCAUAUACAAGUUGAAUUUGCUGUGUUAUUCUGGAACAUCAUCUCGUGUUUUGGUAUGGGUACUUUAUGCAUUUUUGAUUCAAGGUCAUAUGUUAUACCUUUUUGUUUCCAUUUUUUGUCAUUUUGUUACAUUAUCUUUAUUUGCUGCUCAUUUCUUCUGUUACUUAGUUAAGCAUUCAUUUAUUGAUAUACCCUACAUCGCUGGUUCGUUUACGAUGGUAAUGUGUGGCGCACAAGUCCGCCAAAGGGAGGACUGUUGUAGCCAAAAAGGUCAAGAGGUCAUCUACAACAUAUAUUGAGUUGAAUUAUGAGUCCUUAGGUUAAAAGCUUGCUGAGAAAGCUGUGUUCUGUGUACGUGAGGAUUAACAUGUCCAGCUUGUGUAAACCAGCUCCAGUGGACCUUGAGCCCUUAGAAUCAUGUCGGGAUAACAGGGCUGGUCGACCUCUGGGCUGGAGGGUGCGUUGACCAUAUUGGGAAGUGUAAAACAUCACCCCAUCCUCUCUCAAAGGACUGUGGGAGUAGCAGUAUAAAAUAAGCCUGCAUCUUCGUGGCAGGGGGGGGGGCUUUUGCAGAAAGAUCCAGCCGGAGGCUCACUCAGUUCCAGGCUGGGCGCUGUCCCCAAGUGUGGUGAUGUAUUGAUGUAUUGAUUGUGUAAAUAAAUGCCCCACGCUGAGUUUGGACAA